rnacentral:rRNA from 1 species
AGUCGAGGGGCAGCAUGAACUGUAGCUGUGCUAAGUUUGAUGGCGACCGGCGCACGGGUGAGUAACACGUAUCCAACCUGCCGAUGACUCGGGGAUAGCCUUUCGAAAGAAAGAUUAAUACCCGAUGGCAUAGUUCUUCCGCAUGGUAGAACUAUUAAAGAAUUUCGGUCAUCGAUGGGGAUGCGUUCCAUUAGGUUGUUGGCGGGGUAACGGCCCACCAAGCCUUCGAUGGAUAGGGGUUCUGAGAGGAAGGUCCCCCACAUUGGAACUGAGACACGGUCCAAACUCCUACGGGAGGCAGCAGUGAGGAAUAUUGGUCAAUGGACGAGAGUCUGAACCAGCCAAGUAGCGUGAAGGAUGACUGCCCUAUGGGUUGUAAACUUCUUUUAUACGGGAAUAAAGUGAGGCACGUGUGCCUUUUUGUAUGUACCGUAUGAAUAAGGAUCGGCUAACUCCGUGCCAGCAGCCGCGGUAAUACGGAGGAUCCGAGCGUUAUCCGGAUUUAUUGGGUUUAAAGGGAGCGUAGGCGGACGCUUAAGUCAGUUGUGAAAGUUUGCGGCUCAACCGUAAAAUUGCAGUUGAUACUGGGUGUCUUGAGUACAGUAGAGGCAGGCGGAAUUCGUGGUGUAGCGGUGAAAUGCUUAGAUAUCACGAAGAACUCCGAUUGCGAAGGCAGCCUGCUGGACUGUAACUGACGCUGAUGCUCGAAAGUGUGGGUAUCAAACAGGAUUAGAUACCCUGGUAGUCCACACAGUAAACGAUGAAUACUCGCUGUUUGCGAUAUACAGUAAGCGGCCAAGCGAAAGCGUUAAGUAUUCCACCUGGGGAGUACGCCGGCAACGGUGAAACUCAAAGGAAUUGACGGGGGCUCG